rnacentral:rRNA from 1 species
UACGGGGGGGCUGAGCGUUGUUCGGAAUUACUGGGCGUAAAGGGCGCGUAGGCGGUCUGCUAAGUUGGAUGUGAAAAACUCUGGGGCUUAACCCAGAGCCUGCAUUCAAUACUGACAGGCUAGAGUUCUGGGAGGGGGAUAGCGGAAUUCCGUGGUGUAGCGGUGAAAUGCGUAGAUAGUCAGGAGGAACACCAAUAGCGAAGGCAGCUCGCUGGGACGGUACUGACGCUGAGGCGCGAAAGCGUGGGGAGCGAACAGG